rnacentral:siRNA from 1 species
UGGAAGGCCAUAGGUGCAUGU